rnacentral:rRNA from 1 species
CUCAGAAACUUAAAGGAAGUUGACGGGACCCGGCACAAGCGUGGAGCAUGUGGUUUAAUUCGACGAUACGCGAAGAACCUUACCUGGCCUUGACAUACUAAAAAGCUUUAAGAGAUUAGAGUGUGCUAGCUUGCUAGAAUUUAGAUACAGGUGCUGCACGGCUGUCGUCAGCUCGUGUCGUGAGAUGUUGGGUUAAGUCCCGCAACGAGCGCAACCCUCGUGUUUAGUUGCUAACAGUUCGGCUGAGAACUCUAAACAGACUGCCUACGCAAGUAGGAGGAAGGUGAGGACGACGUCAAGUCAUCAUGGCCCUUACGGCCAGGGCUACACACGUGCUACAAUGGAGUAUACAAAGAGCAGCGAUACGGUGACGUGGAGCAAAUCUAGAAAAUGCCUCUCAGUUCGGAUUGUAGUCUGCAACUCGACUACAUGAAGUUGGAAUCGCUAGUAAUCGUAGAUCAGCAAUGCUACGGUGAAUACGUUCCCGGGUCUU